UGGAAUCCCUAGUAAUCGCGCGUCACUAUCGCGCGGUGAAUACGUCCCUGCUCCUUGCACACACCGCCCGUCGUUCCACCCAAGCGGAGUCCGGGUGAGGCGUGGUCCUUAGGGCUGCGUCGAAUCCGGGCUUCGUGAGGGGGGAAAAGUCGUAACAAGGUGGCCGUAGGGGAACCUGCGGCCGGAUCACCUCCUAAG
rnacentral:rRNA from 1 species